AACGCAAAUGGCACUCUCGGGAUAUGCCUGGGAGUACGCUUUUCUCAGUGUCGUUUGUUUUCUCUCACUCCCUCGUCGGAGUGGAAAAUGAGAUGUCUGGUUUUUUAAGCCAGUCUCUUUAAAUGCAAUGGGCUUGGAUACCAUGAGAUGACCUUUCGAAUGACUCGCUAUCACAGGUGAUUCAUAGUUGAAAGCGAAAGGACAGUCUUUAGAGCUCUCACGUCGGCUAAGUUUGCCUUUGGGCGAACCCACUGUUGACGUUGAAGCUUGUUUGACUUGACUGUUUUUCCUUUUGCUGAAUGCAAUGACACUUGAUGCGAGGUUUUAAACAGUCGAUUGUGUCUCUUGAGGUUUAUCCGAACCUUAAAGGAAAUGAACUUUACUAUUUUCUCAAUAGACCUGAGAUGAAGCGAGAGGACCCGCUGAAUUUAA
rnacentral:misc_RNA from 1 species